UUUGCGACAGGCCGCUGGGAGCCGGCCGCCGUCGCUGGCUCGGUUUCCGGCGGGGGCCCGGGGCCCCUGGCUGCCACCGCCGGCCUCUCUCGCUUCUCAUUGCGAACCCCGACUCCUGACCUCGGUGGCGGCUCGUCUGUGGCGAGAGAGCGGGGGCCGGCCCGGCUCUGGCCUGACCUGCGAGGUGACCUUGGUCGAGUCCCCUGUCGAGCGGGGCCCGUCUGUGGCGCGGGCCUGCCGGGGACCCAGUUCUCCAGCGGUUGAGGACACAAACCUAGAGCGGCCCCACAGGCUGCCCCGUGGCAGGGGAAGCGCCGGGCUGCCUGGGGGGAGCGGGGGAGCUCGGUCUGGGCGGCGGAGAUGCCCCUGCGUGUGAAAUGGCCGUUCCCCGCCGUGCCGCCGUUCACCUGGACUCUGGCCAGCAGCGUCGUCAUGGGCCUCGUGGGCACCUACAGCUGCUUCUGGACCAAGUACAUGAACCACCUCACCGUCCACAACAAGGAGGUGCUGUACGAGCUCAUCGAGAACCGAGGCCCAGCCACGCCCCUCAUCACUGUCUCCAAUCACCAGUCCUGCAUGGAUGACCCUCAUCUCUGGGGGAUCCUGAAACUCCGCCACAUCUGGAACCUGAAGUUGAUGCGUUGGACCCCUGCGGCUGCAGACAUCUGCUUCACCAAAGAGCUGCACUCCCGCUUUUUCAGCUUGGGCAAGUGUGUGCCUGUGUGCCGAGUACAAUAUUUUCUAGGCGGAGUACGAAAGGAAAGGCAUUCGAGACACAGGAACCACAUGCCAGGCACUGAAGAGAUUGUCUCCACAGGACUCCCAGUUGAAAGCCAGCACAUAGCAUUAGGCAUCUGUAUCUGUGUUGUUGCUAACUGCCAGGCCACCUGGGUCCAGUGUCAUGGCCUCCAGGUGUCUCCAAGGAGAUGGCGUCUACCAGAAGGGAAUGGACUUCAUUUUGGAAAAGCUCAACCACGGGGACUGGGUGCACAUCUUCCCAGAAGGUCAGUGGAGUUGGCAGGGUUGCACACCCCCCAGCUCCCGAGCCUUACCUCUGUCCUCUCUCUCAACAGGGAAAGUGAACAUGAGCUCUGAGUUCCUACGCUUUAAGUGGGGAAUCGGACGCCUCAUUGCCGAGUGUCAUCUCAACCCCGUCAUUCUGCCACUGUGGCAUGUCGGAAUGAAUGAUGUCCUUCCUAACAGCCCGCCCUACUUCCCCCGCUUUGGACAGAAAAUCACCGUGCUGAUCGGGAAGCCCUUCAGUGCUCUGCCUGUGCUCGAACGGCUCCGGGCAGAGAACAAGUCGGCUGUGGAGAUGCGCAAAGCUCUGACUGACUUCAUUCAGGAAGAAUUUCAGCGCCUGAAGAUCCAGGCGGAGCAGCUCCACAACCACCUGCAGCCCGGGAGAUAGGCGUCACCCCACCCAGAUCCUGCCCUCGCUUCCUCUUGGAAGGGGGCGGCUGGCCGCCAGGCCCAGGAAAGAGGCAGCUCCAACCCAAGCCCCAGGCGCCUGCUCUCAGUGCUGCCCUUGGGUUCUUGCCCGGCACAGCUGAACUGGGGGAUGGACUGAUGUUUUGAGGUCAGAUACAUUUUUUUAGACAGAUUUGUGCAUAACCCCUAAUGGGUAUCCUGUCCUAGUUGGUGAGCAUUCCCUCUGCUCUGAGCUUCUUCAGUUGAAGGAAGGGUUUCAGCUGCUCCUCCCACUUGGCCACGAAAGGACGAAGAAAUUUUGGCAGGGGCCUCCUUCUUUUCUUGCCUUCAGGUAUUCUCUUCCAGGGCUGGCAUCAGGAUGGAGGGUACUUGAAGGGGGGCAGGUGGCCAGGCCAGAACUUUGGGUAGGGGUCUGUGAGGCCCUUGGCCUGGCAUUCACCCACCUGCUCCAACCUGGGAGCUGCUCACCACCUCCUCAGGGAUGGCCAUCAGCCACCUCUUCCUUCUGCCCACACUUCCCACAGGCCUGGGGUCCUCAGGCAGGGCCCAACCCUGGGCUGCAAGCAGAAGAGCAGCCUUUUGCCACAAGUGGAACCCAGCUGAACGGAGCCUGCAGCAAGGGCCCGAGACCCUGUCACUUGCCCACGGGCCGGGGCUCACCAACUGCUCUGUCUUUUCCACCUCCCUGGCAUCACUUGAGUCCCAUGGGGCCUGGGUUUUCAUGUUUUGUAACCAGUAAAGCAUUUGUGUU